rnacentral:rRNA from 1 species
AGCUCCAUUAGCGUAUAUUAAAGUUGUUGCAGUUAAAAAGCUCGUAGUUGGAUUUCGGUGUGGGCCAGUGGGUCGGCCGCGAGGCCUGUUACUGACUGGUCCGCUCUUCCUCUCAAAGACUGCGCGUGCCCUUCGCUGGGUGUGCGUAUUUGGAUUUGGGACGUUUACUUUGAAAAAAUUAGAGUGUUCAAAGCAGGCUUUUGCUUGAAUAUUGCAGCAUGGAAUAAUGGAAUAGGAUCAUGAUCUUAUUUUGUUGGUUUCUAAGAUCAAGAUAAUGAUUAAUAGGGAUAGUUGGGGGCAUUAAUAUUUAGUUGUCAGAGGUGAAAUUCUUAGAUUUACAAAAGAUUAACUUCUGCGAAAGCAUUUGCCAAGGAUGUUUUCGUUAAUCAAGAACGAAAGU